UAAUACGAAGGGGGCUAGCGUUGCUCGGAAUUACUGGGCGUAAAGAGUACGUAGGCGGAUCGAUUAGUUGGUGGUGAAAGCCCAGAGCUCAACUCUGGAACUGCCAUCAAUACUGUCGAUCUGGAGCAGAGUAGAGGUAAGUGGAAUUCCAAGUGUAGAGGUGAAAUUCGUAGAUAUUUGGAGGAACACCAGUGGCGAAGGCGACUUACUGGACUCUUGCUGACGCUGAGGUACGAAAGCGUGGGGAGCAAACAGG
rnacentral:rRNA from 1 species